rnacentral:tRNA from 1 species
GGAGAGGUGCCAGAGUGGUCGAAUGGGUCUGUCUCGAAAACAGAAGUACUCGCAAGGGUACCGGGGGUUCGGAAUCCCCUCCCUCUCCGCCA